UUAUUAAUACCCCCAAAAGCACUCGAUAUUUAAUUAAACAAACCAUUUUCCCCCCUAAGUAUGGGCGACAGAAAAGAAACAUUCAGAGCAAUAGAAAAAGUACCGCAAGGGAAUGCUGAAAAAGAAAUGAAACAACUCAGUAAAGUUUAAAAAAGCAGAGAUAUACACUUGUACCUUUUGCAUCAUGUUUUAGUCAGUAAAAACAAGCAAAAGGUACUUUAGUUUGUCUCCCCGAAACUAAGUGAGCUACUCCAAGACAGCCUAAAAUAGGGCUAACCCGUCUCUGUGGCAAAAGAGUGGGAUGAGCUUAGAGUAGAGGUGAUAAACCUACCGAACUUAGUUAUAGCUGGUUGCCUGAGAAAUGAAUAGAAGUUCAGCUUUUUGGUUUCUCCCCUUGGCCUGUUCAACCACAACCAAGCCAAAGAAACCAAAAAAGUUAACUAAAGGGGGUACAGCUCCUUUAAACAAGAUACAACUUCACCAGUCGGGUAAAGAUCAUAUACAAUCAAGGUAUAAUGUUUUAGUGGGCCUAAAAGCAGCCACCUACAAGAAAGCGUCAAAGCUCCUUCAUACCAUUACCCCCAUAUUCAGAUAAUGCACCCUAAACCCGCUAAUUUUAUCAAGCCGCCCCAUGCCCCCAUGGAAGUGAUUAUGCUAAAAUGAGUAAUAAGAAAAGUCACCUUUUCUCCUUGCACUCGUGUAAAUCGAAACGGACCCCCCAUCGAACAUUAAUCGGCCCCAAAAAAAGAGGGUAAUGAACUAUCAGCCCCAAUACAAGAAAAGCGCCCAAAUAUUGACCGUUAAUCUCACACUAAUAUGCAUACAAGGAAAGACUAAAAGAAAAAGAAGGAACUCGGCAAAUACAAGCCUCGCCUGUUUACCAAAAACAUCGCCUCUUGAAAACUAAGCAUAAGAGGUCC
rnacentral:rRNA from 1 species